UUCAACAUCUUCUUAUUCUACGAAAAAGAGAAGGCGUGGCUUCUUCUUUUGCUUCUUCUUCUUCCUCUCUUCUCCAGGGUCGUAGCACUGGUGGCGGUGGUGGUGGUGAGAAGAAAGACACGUCUUCGUCGAUUU
ensembl:ncRNA F12F3.7 ncRNA